AUUGAACGCUGGCGGCAGGCCUAACACAUGCAAGUCGAACGAGUGGCGGACGGGUGAGUAAUGUCUGGGAAACUGCCCGAUGGAGGGGGAUAACUACUGGAAACGGUAGCUAAUACCGCAUACCAUCGGAUGUGCCCAGAUGGGAUUAGCUAGUAGGUGGGGUAAUGGCUCACCUAGGCGACGACCCCUAGCUGGUCUGAGAGGAUGACCAGCAACACUGGAACUGAGACAGGGUCCAGACUCCUACGGGAGUCAGCGUAGGGGAAUAUUGCACAAUGGGCGCAAGCCUGAUGCAGCCAUGCGGCUUGUAUGAAGAAGGCCUUCGGGUUUUAAAGUACUUUCAUCGAGGAGGCGUUACUCGCAGAAGAAGCACCGGCUAACUCCGUGCCAGCAGCCGCGGUAAUUC
rnacentral:rRNA from 1 species